UGAUGGAGGAACUCAUCCACCGUGAAGGAGCCAUCAAAACCUAUCACCUGAGAGGGCAAACACAUCUCAGUAAUGAAAAGCAAAGGAAGAGGUCUAAGGAAACCACUUGGACAUUAUGAUCCACGGGUCACGAAGAGUGUGACAUGACUGAACAACAACAACAAAAAAGAGGACGAGGUUGGAAGACUUGGAGUGCUUGUCUUACCUGUGUAGAGCAUAUAAGCUGGAACUCAGCCCUCAGAGAAGAGGCAGAGAAGACAAAGGACUGGAGGCAGGAGCUCAAGCUCUCAGAACCAAGGGGAGAAUUUCAGUUCGAUCUUCGAUCUUCCUAAUGGCUGGCCUGGCCUCCUGCACUUCCCCUACUAAGAUCAAGGCCAGACUGAAAGGCUCUCCAGAAAGCUGCCCAGCAUCAGGCAAGGAGAUAAUAAAGGAUUUGGACUUUAACCCCUGGCUACUCUUCUGGUGAUUAUUGAACUGAAAAAAAGGCUGCUCCAAAGACUCCAAGAAAACCUAGCCAAAAGAACAUUACAUUCUAGUGCCCAACUAGAUUAAAAAGAUUAAGAUUAAAAUCUGAUUUGUAACUGAGUCUUCCCAGAAUGGAGCUAAUUUUUUAAAAAUGAAAGUCUUUGGUAUCUUUAAAAGGACUUUGUAAUUAUGGGUGAAUCCCUCAAAUGAAUGUCUGUGGAUAUAGGUGGGCUUGCAAUAAGUGUAUAAAGAAAUUCAGGUACAUCUGGCUCUUUAUGUGGAGUUUGCAUCAGAGGUGUCAAAUUUACAGCCCACAGAAUCCCCCCAGUAUGCUGGAACUAGAUUAAAAUGUGAUCAGGAUAAAUGGUCAAAGGAUAUGAAGACAAUUUUUGGGUGAAGAAAUUGAAAUAAAGAAAUAAAAAUACAAUUUAGGUGAAAUUGUAGUUUUCUAAGUUAAUAUGCUGCCCAGCAAGGAUCCGUUCCUAUUUGAAUUUGGUAUCAUGUACUAUUUGAUCUACAUGUACAAAUCUUUCAAUAAAUCAGAGGGGAGAAAAAAUUUUAUUUUUCCAUAUGUUCCAUAGUAUUCCUUGCUUCCCUCUUAAAUCCACUGUAUUCUGUGUUAGAGCUAGAGGGAGAAAGAGAGAGAAACCAAAGGUAAG